UCCUAUGCAAGCAGUGACGGUUCCCCGCCGGAUGACUCCGAGGGGAUUAAUAGGGAACACGGUGAGGACGACCCAAUAGGGACCAAGACCGUGGCUGCCCCCGCAACUGUAAGCGGAUUGCUGUCCAUUCUCGCGGCGUGAAAGCGCCGGGCCACUGCGGGUCACCGUGGGAAGGCAAAUGGAGAGCGCAUAUCCGUGAGCCAGGAGACCUGCCGUCAAGUGAAGAGAACG
rnacentral:ncRNA from 2 species